rnacentral:rRNA from 1 species
CCUACGGGGAGCAGCAGUGGGGGAUAUUGCACAAUGGGGGGAACCCUGAUGCAGCGACGCCGCGUGGGUGAAGAAGCGCCUCGGCGCGUAAAGCCCUGUCAGCAGGGAAGAAAAUGACGGUACCUGAAGAAGAAGCCCCGGCUAACUACGUGCCAGCAGCCGCGGUAAUACGUAGGGGGCAAGCGUUAUCCGGAUUUACUGGGUGUAAAGGGGGCGCAGACGGCGAUGCAAGCCAGGAGUGAAAGCCCGGGGCCCAACCCCGGGACUGCUCUUGGAACUGCGUGGCUAGAGUGCAGGAGGGGCAGGCGGAAUUCCUGGUGUAGCGGUGAAAUGCGUAGAUAUCAGGAGGAACACCGGUGGCGAAGGCGGCCUGCUGGACUGCAACUGACGUUGAGGCCCGAAAGCGUGGGGAGCAAACAGGAUUAGAUACCCCAGUAGUC